rnacentral:tRNA from 1 species
GCGCCUGUAGCUCAAUUGGAUAGAGCAUCGGCCUUCGAAGCCGAGGGCUGGGGGUUCGAUUCCCUCCGGGCGCACCA